AGUGAGAUAGCUGGGUCAAAUGGUGGUUCCAUUCCAAGUUUUUUAAAGGAAUCUCCAUACUCCUUUCCAGAUUGGUUGCACCAAUUAGCAGUCCCACCAGCAAU
rnacentral:pre_miRNA from 1 species